AGCCAGAGUGAUGAAAAAGCAUCUUUAGGUGUCUGGUUAUGGCCGUCUUGGUCACCUGUAUGACACUUGCCAAUUCAGGACUUGUCAUAGUUAUACUGACUGUUG
ensembl:snoRNA